rnacentral:rRNA from 1 species
GAUGAACGCUGGCGGCGUGCCUAAUACAUGCAAGUCGAGCGAACAGACGAGGAGCUUGCUCCUCUGACGUUAGCGGCGGACGGGUGAGUAACACGUGGAUAACCUACCUAUAAGACUGGGAUAACUUCGGGAAACCGGAGCUACUACCGGAUAAUAUAUUGAACCGCAUGGUUCAAUAGUGAAAGUCGGUUUUUCUGUCACUUAUAGAUGGAUCCGCGCCGCAUUAGCUAGUUGGUAAGGUAACGGCUUACCAAGGCGACGAUGCGUAGCCGACCUGAGAGGGUGAUCGGCCACACUGGAACUGAGACACGGUCCAGACUCCUACGGGAGGCAGCAGUAGGGAAUCUUCCGCAAUGGGCGAAAGCCUGACGGAGCAACGCCGCGUGAGUGAUGAAGGUCUUCGGAUCGUAAAACUCUGUUAUUAGUGAAGAACAAAUGUGUAAGUAACUAUGCACGUCUUGACGGUACCUAAUCAGAAAGCCACGGCUAACUACGUG